AGCCUGGAAGAGGGCCAGCCUGUUGGUACUAAAGCAGUGCUGGCCCCAACGCAGCUGGCUGGGCCAGACAUUGAUGGGAAAUGGCUGACAGCAGGAUAAACAAGCAGCUCCCUUUUUGGUGAGCUUCAGAGGAAGCAGGUGGACAGAAUCAAGGCUUCAGAAAGAAAAUAUGGGAGAGAGGGAAAAAAGCUUGAUGACGUUGAUACACAGUUUGAGUGUCUUUUUUACUCUGGAUCAACUUUGAACCAAGAUGAAAGAAGCAUAGAAACAAAACCACAAAAGAAGAAAAGAAGCCAUAGGAAACUAAUUCAGAUGUAGCAGUGAGCGAUGUGAUGACUGGAGUGGCAGCAGCUAUCUUGAAACCAUGAGGACACAAACCUGAGGAUAAAAUUAAAUUCAAUAUCCUGGAGAAGACAGAGUGGACAGAUGGAAAGCCCUGUUGAAUUAGCCACGUAUCACUUAACCUUUUGACUUCUUAUCAUGAAAAAAAAGAACCUCCAAAUGUGCCUCUCUCCAUGUGCUAGAGAAGAGCCUUCUGCAGCCACACAUUCCCCCUUCCAGUCUGGUCACAUCUGGGAGCCCCUCCCAGCUCCUGCUCCCCCAUUUCAAGGAAGGCUGCGCAUCACUUCUCCGCUCACUCCCAUGGUGGCUGGGUUUGAGGGCAUUGUGCUUGGAGUGAUGACACCAGAGCCACAUGGAGAAGGAGCAAGGUGGCCUCCAAAGGAAAGGAAGCUGGGCUAGGGCAACUGUCCACCACACAUGGGGUGUGUUUCCGUGUGUGUGUUUGCUGCCUCUGCUGCCUCUUCCGUCAGCAGCAUCCAGAAGCCGUCGCCUCUUCUGUGGCCUGAGUGCUCACCUCAGCAGCCUUCCCCAUCCCUCUGGGGUUUGCUGCCUCGAGUCGUGAGUCCAAAUACAUAAGCCUUUAAGAAACACCCGGCAUAUAAGCACAGAACGAGAGCUUAAAGAGGACCCCUCAAACCUUGGGCUUCUGAGAGACCAUUUCUAAAAAUGGUGUCUGUGUUUCUGUGGGUUGAGUUAGCUGAAAUUCUAAUGGGCACCAUUAGAAUGCUCUGUAUGAAGUAAGUGUAAUUCCUUAACGUGAAAUAGAAUGGCCGAACGUCACGUGAGUUUGCCCGCCUUGCAAACUCACAGGAGGCAGUCCAAUCCGCAGAAUCUACAAGAUAUGCUAUUUCCAUAAUUUUUUUUCUUUUGUAAUCAGGUUAGCCUACAAGUCAGUAUCUCUGAUAUGCAGACUCUACAAUAAGCAGCUCCCAUGGAAGCCCACUAGCUUUGCGCAAAUUGAACUAUUUCAUUUCAAUAA